rnacentral:lncRNA from 1 species
UUCAAGGCUGCCCCCUUUUCCAUUUUUUUUUAAUUUUUUUUCUAAAUUCAUUUGGACCAAUAUAAAAUCAUUUUCACCUCUUGCUCCCAAAAGCAACAUUGUUCCAAAACAAAAACUAGUUCUAGGUUUUUAAAUAAAUUCAUUUGAAUUACCAAUAGAAUUUGAAUAAAUUCAUUUAAAUAAGCAAGACCAAAUUCCCAAUAGAAUUUGAAUUACAAAUUAAAACUAGUUCUAGGUUUUUAAAUAAAGUCAUUUUGGGAAUUUUGUAUAAAUUCCAUUUCUCAAAUUCUAUAGCUCCAAAAAUUGCACAA